rnacentral:tRNA from 1 species
GGGCUUGUAGCUCAGUUGGUUAGAACACACGCUUGAUAAGCGUGGGGUCGGAGGUUCAAGUCCUCCCAGGCCCACCA